rnacentral:rRNA from 1 species
AGUGAACGCUGGCGGCGUGCUUAACACAUGCAAGUCGAACGAGAACGGGUUAUAGCUUGCUAUAAUUGUCAGCUAAGUGGCGCACGGGUGAGUAAUGUAUAGGUAAUAUGCCUCUUACUAAGGGAUAACAAAUGGAAACGUUUGCUAAUACCUUAUACUCCUUAUUAACAUAAGUUAAUAAGGGAAAGAUUUAUUGGUAAGAGAUUAGCCUGUAUUGUAUCAGUUAGUUGGUGGGGUAAUGGCUUACCAAGAAUAUGACACAUAACUGGUUUGAGAGGACGAUCAGUCACACUGGAACGGAGACACGGUCCAGAAUCCUACGGGAGGCAGCAGUGGGGAAUAUUGCACAAUGGACGAAAGUCUGAUGCAGCAACGCCGCGUGGAGGAUGACACAUUGCGGUGCGUAAACUCCUUUUAUAUGAGAAGAUAAUGACGGUAUUAUAUGAAUAAGCACCGGCUAACUCCGUGCCAGCAGCCGCCGUAA